CCGGCCUCCCAAAGUGCUAGGAUUAGAGGCGUGAGUCACUGCGCCUGGCCCUUGAUGAGCUUUUAUUUAUGAAGUGCCUGACAUGGUGCCAAGGAUAAAGAACUGUGAAGAUUCUGCCUCUUACCGUUAGCAAAACUCGACUUCUAUCAACAAGGAUUUGAUGAGCACCUAAUAGCCGCCAGGCACUGUGUAAGGCAUGAGGAUCCCGUAUGAACAUGACAAAGUCCCUGGCCUGCCAGAACUAAUGGUCUAGGGGAAGGUGCAGAGAAAAAAAGUGGGCAAUUAUGAUAUAUAGUCCUGUGGGUGCUGCUCAGGUCAGGUGAUAUGGAAACAUGGAGAAAGGGCUCCUAACCCGGAUUGACGGAUCACAGAAGGCUGCCUGGAGGAGAUGGCAGGAGUGGAAGCCAUAAAGGAUAGGCAAGAGAUGGCCAGGAGACUGGAGGCAAGAGGUGGGCCUGCAGGGCACUGAACUGGAACUGCGUGGCGCGGAGGUGGGCAUCAGAAAGCCCGGGAAGGGGGAAUCUGGCUGGCAUCAUCACACAAAGGACGACCGAGUCACCGAGUGAGGAGAGCUGUGGGUCAUAACAGGAGAAGCAGCCGGCGGCAGAACACAGAGGGCCCUGAACAUUCAGGAGUCAGGCAAGGAGCACAAGGUCCUCGCUUCCCGGAGUUUCUGGACGUGAACAGAAAGCAACACUUUGAUGAUCAUGUGGGCAGGAGAGGGAUGAACUUUGGUGGGGUGAGGGGCAGGGAAACCGGACUUUUAGGCUCUCUGAGCAUCCCACCAAGUGGCUGUCGGUUCAGAAGACCUGUCCCCAGGGCGACUAAUGUCUGCACAAGAAUUGACUCAGGUGUUGCUGCUCUCAGUACGGUAGAAAAGGUUUCUAACAGUGGUGCGUUGGAGCUGCCCCAACCAGCACGUGAGAGCUGAUGGUUACAUGAUGAGACCCAGCAGAGAAACAGGAAAUGAGAGGCAGACGAAAGGAGAUCAAGCUGUCAGCUUGAUUCCUGACACAGGCAUCAUCUUCAUCCCUAUACUGAACUUCCCAGCACUCACGCUCUGCAGACCUCCUUCUUCAGGGGACACUUCUCAAAAGAAGACAUUUAUGCGGCCAAAAAACAUCAUCACUGGUCAUUAGAGAAAUGCAAAUCAAAACCACAAUGAGAUACCAUCUCAUGCCAGUUAGAAUGGUGAUCAUUAAAAAGUCAGGAAACAACAGAUGCUGGAGAGGAUGUGGGGAAAUAGGAACACUUUUACACUGUUGUAUAAAUUAGUUCAAUUAUUGUGGAAGACAGUGUGUUGAUUCCUCAGGGAUCUAGAACCAGAAAUACCAUUUGACCCAGUAAUCCCAUUACUGGGUAUAUACCCAAAGGAUUGUAAAUCAUUCUACUAUAAAGACACAUGCACACGUAUGUUUAUUGCAGCACUAUUCACAGUGGCAAAGACUUGGAACUGAGCCUAAUGAGAAAUGCCCAUCAAUGAUAGACUGGAUAAAGAAAAUGUGGCACAUAUACACUAUGGAAUACUAUGCAGCCAUAAAAAAGGAUGAGUUCUUGUCCUUUGCAGGGACAUGGAUGAAGCUGGAAACCAUCAGUUUCAGCAAACUAACACAGGAACAGAAAACCAAACACCACAUGUUCUCACUCAGAAGUGGGAGCUGAACAAUGAAAACACAUGGACACAGGGAGGGGAACAUCAUACACCGGGGCCUGUCGGGGGGUGAGGGGCUAGGGGAGGGAUAGCAUUAGGAGAAAUACCUAAUGUAGAU
rnacentral:lncRNA from 1 species